rnacentral:rRNA from 1 species
AUCAACUUUCGAUGGUAGGAUAGAGGCCUACCAUGGUGGUAACGGGUAACGGGGUGUUAGGGCACGACACCGGAGAGGGAGCCUGAGAAACGGCUACCACAUCCAAGGAUGGCAGCAGGCGCGCAAAUUACCCAAUCCCGACACGGGGAGGUAGUGACAAUAAAUAACAAUACGGGGUUCUUUCGGAUCUCGUAAUUGGAAUGAGUACAAUUUAAAUCUCUUAACGAGGAACAAUUGGAGGGCAAGUCUGGUGCCAGCAGCCGCGGUAAUUCCAGCUCCAAUAGCGUAUAUUAAAGUUGUUGCAGUUAAAAAGCUCGUAGUUGAAUUUCGAGGUUAGUAGGUUGGUCAUGCCUCUGGUAUGUACUGGUCUCACUGAUUCCUCCUUCCUGAUGAACCGUAAUGCCAUUAAUUUGGUGUUGCGGGGAAUUUGGACUGUUACUUUGAAAAAAUUAGAGUGUUUAAAGCAAGCUAACGCUUGAAUACAUUAGCAUGGAAUAAUGAAAUAGGACGUUCGAUCCUAUUUUGUUGGUUUCUAGGAUUGACGUAAUGAUUAAUAGGGAUAGUUGGGGGCAUUAGUAUUCAAUUGUCAGAGGUGAAAUUCUUGGAUUUAUUGAAGACUAACUACUGCGAAAGCAUUUGCCAAGGAUGUUUUCAUUAAUCAAGAACGAAAGUUAGGGGAUCGAAGACGAUCAGAUACCGUCGUAGUCUUAACCAUAAACUAUGCCGACUAGGGAUCGGAUGAUGUUAAUUUUUUAAUGACUCAUUCGGCGCCUUACGGGAAACCAAAGUGUUUGGGUUC